GGAGUUAGCCGGUGCUUCUUCUGUGAGUGAUGUCCUUCCUGCCGGCUAUUAACCCGCAGGCCUUCUUCCUCACUGAAAGUGCUUUACAACCCGAAGGCCUUCUUCACACACGCGGCAUGGCUGGAUCAGGGUUGCCCCAAUUGUCCAAUAUUCCCCACUGCUGCCUCCCGUAGGAGUCUGGGCCGUGUCUCAGUCCCAGUGUGGCUGAUCAUCCUCUCAGACCAGCUACGGAUCGUCGCCUUGGUGAGCCGUUACCUCACCAACCAGCUAAUCCGACAUAGGCUCAUCCGAUAGCGCGAGGCCCGAAGGUCCCCCGCUUUCCCCCGUAGGGCGUAUGCGGUAUUAGCCUGGGUUUCCCCAGGUUAUCCCCCACUACCGGGCAGAUUCCUAUGCAUUACUCACCCGUCCGCCGCUCGCCACCAGGGAGCAAGCUCCCCGUGCUGCCGCUCGACUUGCAUGUGUUAGGCCUGCCGCCAGCGUUCAAUCUGAGCCAGAAUCGAACCCUGA
rnacentral:rRNA from 1 species